rnacentral:lncRNA from 1 species
CUCAAGGGCUCCCAAACACAGGAACAGCAGUGUCCUCAGAGAACAAGAUGUAGAACUCUCAGCUCCUCCAAAGCCACGCCUGCCUGGAUGCUGCCAUGCUUCCUGCCUUAAUGGACUGAACCUCUGAACCUGUUUUUACUGAUGUUUCUCUGAGUCACAGUUUCAUGUGUCUUGAGCUUACUACGUAGCUGAAGAUGGCCUUGAACUUGGAUCCUUCUGUGUCCCCCCUCAAGUGGUGGGAUCGCAAGAGUACACCACAAGGCUUGAAUUACUAAGCGAACACUCUCCACACUGAGCUACAUCCCAGCACAUCAGCUGCUGCUUAAUUGACCAUCUGCCUGUUUCAAGUGUUCCUUCAGGUGUGGAGGCCACCCCUAGACCUUAGAGCAGGGUAAUUCUCAACACUUGGGUCUUGUCUCACCCACUUGGGAGCAGAACAACCCUUUCAACAGGGGUCACAUAUCAGAUAUUGACAUUGUGACAUACAACACUAGCAGAUUUAGUUACUUUUUUACGGUUGGGGUCACCACAACAUGAGGAACUGUAUUAAAGGGCCGUAGUGUUAGGAAGGUUGAGAACCAAUGAGAGCAAGACGAUGCUCUCUCAAACCCCAGAGUGGUUAUCUCUGCACCCUACCAGAGUGGCUCCC